AAACUGGAGAGUUUGAUCCUGGCUCAGAGCGAACGUUUGCGGCGGGCCUAACACAUGCAAGUCGAACGGGCAGGGGCAACCCUGUCAGUGGCGCACGGGUGCGUAACACGUGGGUAAUCAACCCUUUGGACUGGGACAACCCGGGGAAACUCGGGCUAAUACCGGAUGUGGCGUGGCGGUCUUCGGACUGCUCCGCGAAAGCUCCGCAAGGGGCACCAGAGGACGAGCCCGCGUCCCAUCAGCUAGUUGGUGAGGUAAUGGCUCACCAAGGCGAAGACGGGUAGCUGGUCUGAGAGGAUGAUCAGCCACACUGGAACUGAGACACGGUCCAGACUCCUACGGGAGGCAGCAGUGGGGAAUAUUGCGCAAUGGGCGAAAGCCUGACGC
rnacentral:rRNA from 1 species